AUUGUACUGUACUGUAUGUUGGUACUGUAUAGCACUUUUGUGUGAUUGCAUAUUAAAAUUAAUAUCACUACUGCACUGGACAAAAAUGUACUAUGUUGAAUGACAUGGCAUUGUUUGUGAACCUUCAAAAAAUGCAUAGUGUAAUCUUUAUAAAGGGUAUAUACCCCAUGUAAAUCUUUUUUUUGGAAACAUUGAUACUGUAGGUUCUCAUUCAUGGAAAAAUUGAGGACAAUUUGCACAUCACCACCACCAUAUUCAUGGCUACACCCACCAAAAUCUGGACUGCUGCAACUGUAGACAUUGUGUUCCGGGUUCCCCACGCCGG